UACAGAGGUCCCAAGCGUUGUUCGGAUUCAUUGGGCGUAAAGGGUGCGUAGGCGGCGCGGUAAGUCGGGUGUGAAAUCUCGGAGCUUAACUCCGAAACUGCAUUCGAUACUGCCGUGCUUGAGGACUGGAGAGGAGACUGGAAUUUACGGUGUAGCGGUGAAAUGCGUAGAUAUCGUAAGGAAGACCAGUGGCGAAGGCGGCUCGCUGGGACGCGACUGACGCUGAGACGCGAAAGCGUGGGGAGCAAACAGG
rnacentral:rRNA from 1 species